UUAAUUGAAACCAAUAUAUGAGGUAAAUUAUUGUUAAUAAUUUCAAAGAAAUUUUUAUUUCCAAUUAAA
rnacentral:tRNA from 1 species